AGAGGGUGCGAGCGUUAAUCGGAAUGAUUGGGCGUAAAGCGCGCGUAGGCGGUAAGAAAAGUUGGAUGUGAAAUCUUCGGGCUUAACCUGGAAACUGCAUCCAAAACCGACUUACUAGAAUUCAGCAGAGGAAAGUAGAAUUUCCAGUGUAGCGGUGAAAUGCGUAGAUAUUGGAAGGAAUACCAGAGGCGAAGGCGGCUUUCUGGGCUGAAAUUGACGCUAAGGCGCGAAAGCGUGGGGAGCAAACAGGGAUUAGAUACCCUGGUAGUCCACGCCGUAAACGAUGAGAACUAGCUGUUGGUGUCGAAAGACAUAAGUGGCGCAGUUAACACGAUAAGUUCUCGCCUGGGGAUACGACCGCAAGGUUA
rnacentral:rRNA from 1 species